rnacentral:tRNA from 1 species
GGAGCAGUACUCAAGUUGGUGACGAGGCGCCCCUGCUAAGGGCGUAGGCGUCGUAAGGCGCGCGAGAGUUCGAGUCUCUCCUGCUCCGCCA